rnacentral:rRNA from 1 species
UACGUAGGAUGCAAGCGUUGUCCGGAAUUAUUGGGCGUAAAGAGAACGUAGGUGGUCCUUUAAGUUCGAUCUUAAAGACCGGGGCUCAACCCCGGGAAUGGAUUGAAAACUGGGGGACUAGAGGAUGUUAGAGGACGGUGGAAUUCCCAGUGUAGCGGUGAAAUGCGUAGAUAUUGGGAGGAACACCAGUGGCGAAAGCGGCCGUCUGGGACAUUCCUGACACUGAGGUUCGAAAGCUCGGGGAGCAAACAGG